rnacentral:snRNA from 1 species
AUGCUCUCUUUGGCAGCACAUAUACUAAAACUGGAACGAUGCAGAGAAGAUUAGCACAGCCCCUGCGCAAAGAUGACAUGCAAAUUCCUGAAGUGUUCCAUAUUUGU